AGCAGUCGCCACGGUAAUACGUAGGGUGCAAGCGUUAAUCGGAAUUACUGGGCGUAAAGCGUGCGCAGGCGGUUUGUUAAGACAGAUGUGAAAUCCCCGGGCUCAACCUGGGAACUGCAUUUGUGACUGGCAAGCUAGAGUGUGGCAGAGGGGGGGUGGAAUUCCGCGUGUAGCAGUGAAAUGCGUAGAUAUGCGGAGGAACACCGAUGGCGAAGGCAGCCCCCUGGGCCAACACUGACGCUCAUGCACGAAAGCGUGGGGAGCAAACAGGAUUAGAUACCCGCGUAGUCCCUGUCUCUUAUA
rnacentral:rRNA from 1 species